rnacentral:rRNA from 1 species
CACUCCUGCGGGAGGCAGCAGUGGGGAAUAUUGCACAAUGGGCGCAAGCCUGAUGCAGCCAUGCCGCGUGUGUGAAGAAGGCCUUCGGGUUGUAAAGCACUUUCAGCGGGGAGGAAGGCGAUACGGUUAAUAACCGUGUUGAUUGACGUUACCCGCAGAAGAAGCACCGGCUAACUCCGUGCCAGCAGCCGCGGUAAUACGGAGGGUGCAAGCGUUAAUCGGAAUUACUGGGCGUAAAGCGCACGCAGGCGGUCUGUCAAGUCGGAUGUGAAAUCCCCGGGCUCAACCUGGGAACUGCAUUCGAAACUGGCAGGCUUGAGUCUUGUAGAGGGGGGUAGAAUUCCAGGUGUAGCGGUGAAAUGCGUAGAGAUCUGGAGGAAUACCGGUGGCGAAGGCGGCCCCCUGGACAAAGACUGACGCUCAGGUGCGAAAGCGUGGGGAGCAAACAGGAUUAGAUACCCGAGUAGUCCCA